GGUCUCAUAGCUCAGUUGGUCAGAGCGUUCGCACCACUAUCUAUCCGUGAAUGGGCUUGCCUUACAAGCAAGCAAACAUUCCGUGAUACGUUGGUCUAUGCGAAGGUCGAGAGUUCAAGCCUCUCUGGGACCA